UAUAGAGCCUACUAACAUAAGACCAUACUGAAUAAUUUUAUAUAUGGAGUGAAGAUCUGUGCUACCUAAGAGUUAAAAAUACGACGAUUGUAAUAGCAUCAUAAUCACGAAACAUAGCAGUUAUGAUUAGUAUUGUUAGUCAAUCGUUCUAAUGUUGAUUUGCGCGAGAAGAAGAAGAAAACUCCAGCUGAAGCCAAUUUGAAAUUCAGACAGUUGUUUCCCCGAAAUGAUAACUGAUGCAGAAAUGCCAUCAUCAUAUCUUAAAACAAAGAUACAAUACAUUAACCAACGUACUGAAAGAAGCAAAUCUUCCUCUAAUAGUCGUCUGUCUUAAAAUGUUGCAGAAUCCCCUGCUGCUCAGUUCUUGCCUGCAAGAUCUUAAUAACUCACUACUUUUUAGUACCGGGAAAUAAUGCACAAACACUCUAGUUGCAACAUUUAGAGGCGCACGGAAAAGUCUUAUCCUUGUCCAGCAGAUCUAUUAUUCUAAGACGCAGAUUCAAAGCACAUACAUUGGGCAAUUAUCUACCAGAUUGAGAUUGAUUGAUGUGGAACUUGAAUUCCCUCCAACAUGAGUUUCUUGCCUAGAAUUAGCUUUAACUAUCUGUCUGUGCUGCCGAGUUUGAACCCUUUGUCUGCUCACCAUCCAUUAAGAUCCUAUAAGCAUAGAAUGCUGCCACCCCUCCACUGAUGGUGGCUGUAAUAAAAUUGAAAAUAAACGGUUUCUGCAACAUCAAGCGAAAUUCUCUGACAAAUAAGAUGGUAGCAAUGGCUGCCUGUCCCUUUAAAGCUAGUGAAGUCGAAUCUCCACUUCUCCAUGAUCGUAAACUUGAGAUGCUUAAGGCCAAAAGAGCACCUCCAAGUACAACACCAAAUCUAAGGGCAGCAGUGCUUCCACUUAGCAUGAAGUACAAAAAGCCACCAGCAGAAAGAAGAGUUCCGUAAGGUAUUCCCACAUAGAAGUCUCGCACUUUCGACACGUCAUUCAAUUCAUCUGCAGAGGAAACAAAUGUUUCAACAAUAUCCUUCACUGGUUCAGGUGAGCUCUCAGCAGCAGUGGUUAAAUAUUCUUUACUCUCCUCACUAAUUUCCUUUGCAAUUAUAGUCCAAUCUUCUCUUGCCUUAUCCGCUUGAAUUUUUAAUUUCUCAGAAGUUUCUUUCAAAAUGAUCAUAGCUUUAUCGGAAUACACCUCAUACGCUUCUUGUGACACAGCUUGCACCUUCAUCGCUUGUUCUUUGAAGGAAGCUAGGGUCUGUUUCCAGGCUUCUUCUUGCGCUUCAGCCUCCUCCUUAAGAUCAUUAUUGUCCUUCUCCAAUUCAACAUCUGAAGGCUUCGAUUCCUCAUGUGAAGCUGCGAAAGGGAGAAUCGUUGUAUUCCUAAAACUAUGUUGAGCCAAGGGAACCAAGCCGGUGCGGAAGCCAAAGCCAAGGCUAGCCUUGGAAACAGACCGAACAACAAGGGAAGUUCUUAUAUUACAGAGUUUCUGAGUGGAAGUAAGGCCUAGAGAUGUAGGAGUAUAAGAAAGCGCCAUUGGAGAAGCUUUGUUUAAGAGAGGAGAAAGGGCUAGGUUUAGGGUUUGUCAAAGUUUUUAUACAGAAGUGGGUAGAGGGAGGAGGUAGCU
rnacentral:misc_RNA from 1 species